AUCUUUUAUUUUCCAUUUUGCCGUCACAUCACACAACCUCUAUCCGCAGGGAGGGCAAGGCCUGGAAGCCCUCGUCAAACGGUUUCAUUUACCUCCAACUGCCAGAAACCGGGGGAAGCAGGGCCUUUAGAAGAAUCGAGGUGUAUCUGUGUUUUUUUUGAAAGGAGAUGUUUGUCCAGGUUCAAGCACUGCACCCUCUGUGGCAAGCGUCCCAGGUCCCAGGUCUCAGCCUGUCUCAAUUGCAUAGAAGAGAGACCCAGGAAAGGAAAGAUCAUAAUCCCUGAUAAUCUGCAGGUGAAAGGUUUGAAUGUUGGGUCCUGGGUCACCUUUGUGGCAAGUCACUUUUUAUACCCUAACCCGAUAUAAAGGGACUUUUCACAUAUACAUGUGAUGUCCUUUUCAAAGGAAGACCGUUGAACCAAGGAAUUAUUAUCUUGGUGUGUGUGUGUGUGUGUGUGUGUGUGUGUGUACAUUUCUCUCUGGAUACUAGAUGUCUGGUGUGUGUCCUUAAAUUUUCAAUCUUCCUUCCCUACUCCAGUAACAGUUGGAAGUGUCUAUCCCUCAGUUGCUGAUUUAUUAUUUAGAACAUGUUAAAGAGGAACUGGGACCCAAUCUCUGAAAACUUAACUCGGAGGAGCUAUUGAAACAGCAGGAUCCGCAUGCUUAAAACCAGGUACAGGAUAGAGGACAGUUGAAUCCUUGCAAUUUCUGAGCCUGUCUCCAAAUCCUCAAUACCUAUUAUUAUUAUUAUUUUUUUUUUUUGUCUUUUUGCUAUUUCUUUGGGCCGCUCCGCGGCAUAUGGAGGUUCCCAGGCUAGGGGUUGAAUCGGAGCUGUAGCCACCGGCCCAUGCCAGAGCCACAGCACCGCGGGAUCCAAGCCGCGUCUGCAACCUACACCACAGCUCACAGCAACACCGGAUCGUUAACCCACUGAGUGAGGCCAGGGACCGAACCUGCAACCUCAUGGUUCCUAGUUGGAUUCGUUAACCACUGUGCCACGACGGGAACUCCUGUCAUUUUUCACCUUGCACAGCAAGGUGACCCAGUCACACAUACAGGUGUACAUUCUUUUUUUCUCACGUUGUCAUGCUCCAUCACAAGUGACCAGAUGUAGUUCUCAGUGCUGUACAGCAGGAUCCCAUUGCUUAUCCAUGUUAUUUUCUUUUUUAACAUUAUUAUUUUUAUAGCCAUCCUAGUGGAUGUGAUAUCCAUAUUAUUCUUUUUCAAAAUUUUGUUGAGGGAAUUCCUGUUGUGCCUCAGCAGGUUAAGAACCCAACCAGUAUCCAUGAGGAUGAGGGUUCAAUCCCUGGCCUUGCUCAGGGGGUUAAGGAUCCAGUGUUGCCACAAGCUGCAGCAUAGGUCACAG
rnacentral:lncRNA from 1 species